GCGCCCGUGGUUCAAUGGUAGAAUACGACCUUGCCAAGGUUGAGACCCGGGUCCGAUUCCCGGCGGGCGCA
rnacentral:tRNA from 1 species